rnacentral:rRNA from 1 species
GGGCUUUAAGCCCCCUGAAGGAACGUUAAAGACUAUGACGUUGAUAGGCUGGGUGUGUAAGUGCAGCGAUGCAUUGAGCUAACCAGUACUAAUGAUCCGUGAGGCUUAACCUUACAACACCAAAGGUGUUUUG